rnacentral:rRNA from 1 species
UACAGAGGUUGCAAGCGUUGUUCGGAUUUAUUGGGCGUAAAGGGUCCGUAGGCGGUUUGGAAAGUCAGAUGUGAAAUCCCACAGCUCAACUGUGGAACUGCAUUUGAAACUUCCAGACUAGAGUAUGAGAGGGGUUAAGGGAAUUCCCGGUGUAAGGGUGAAAUCUGCAGAGAUCGGGAGGAACACCAGUCGCGAAGGCGCUUAACUGGCUCAUUACUGACGCUCAGGGACGAAAAGCUAGGGGAGCAAACGGG